AACCUUAUGGACCUGCGGGCGUAUACCUGCGGAAGGAUCAUUAUAGAGAUUGAUGCACCAAGUGCAUCACCUCCAACCCCUUGCGAAAACAACUAUCAUGUGUUGCUUUGGCAGUGUUUCCACUGCCAGAGGUUUACAUAAAAUCAGCUGUUUGGAUGUUGUCUGAGUAAACUAUAUGAAUUAUUUAAAACUUUUAACAAUGGAUCU
rnacentral:misc_RNA from 1 species